UAGGGAAUCUUCGGCAAUGGGGGCAACCCUGACCGAGCAACGCCGCGUGAGUGAAGAAGGUUUUCGGAUCGUAAAGCUCUGUUGUAAGAGAAGAACGUGUGUGAGAGUGGAAAGUUCACACAGUGACGGUAACUUACCAGAAAGGGACGGCUAACUACGUGCCAGCAGCCGCGGUAAUACGUAGGUCCCGAGCGUUGUCCGGAUUUAUUGGGCGUAAAGCGAGCGCAGGCGGUUUAAUAAGUCUGAAGUUAAAGGCAGUGGCUUAACCAUUGUUCGCUUUGCAAACUGUUAAACUUCCGUGCAUUACGGCAGACUGGAAUUCCAUGUGUAGCCGUGCAAUGCGUAGAUAUCUGGAGAACCACCGGUGGCGAAAGCGGCUCUCUGGUCUGUAACUGACGCUGAGGCUCGAAAGCGUGGGGAGCAAACAGG
rnacentral:rRNA from 1 species